UACGUAGGUGGCAAGCGUUGUCCGGAUUUAUUGGGCGUAAAGGGUUCGUAGGCGGGAGAUCAAGUCAAGUGUGAAAUAUCCGGGCUUAACCUGGAAAGUGCAUUUGAAACUGGUUUUCUUGAGUGUUGAAGAGGGUGGUGGAAUUGCUGGUGUAGGAGUGACAUCCGUAGAGAUCAGCAGGAACAUCGGAGGCGAAGGCGGCCACCUGGUCAAUCACUGACGCUGAGGAACGAAAGCAUGGGGAGCAAACAGG
rnacentral:rRNA from 1 species